GACGAACGCUGGCGGCGUGCCUAAUACAUGCAAGUAGGACGCAGUUGCGAACGCGUGAGUAAAGCGUGGGUAACUACCUAUUAGAGGGGGGUAACUAUUGGAAACGAUAGUUAAUACCGCAUACUAGUAGAUGGACCUGCGUGGUGUUAGCUAGUAGGUAGGGUAAUGGCCUACCUAGGCAACGCUACAUAGCCGAACUGGGAGGGUGAGCGGCCACAAUGGGGCUUAGACACGGCCCAGAAUUCUACGGGAGGCAGCCGGAGGGAAUUUGCGGCCAUGGGGCGAACCCUGACCGAGCAACGCCGAGGGAGUGAAGAAGGUUUUCGGGUCGGAAAGCUCUGUUGGUAAGGAAGCGGUACUUAACCAGAAAGGGACGGCUAACUACGGGCCAGCAGCCGCGGUAAUAC
rnacentral:rRNA from 1 species